AAAAUCCGAUUGGGGUGUUCCGCAUGAAUAUGUCAGAGACCAUUUGAUGUUAAACAAGUGUCUCCGAUGGGACUGAGAAAAAACCCACUGAACCUGAUACAGUUAAUGCUGUCGUAGGGAACUCGGAGAAUAUGAUCU
rnacentral:ncRNA from 2 species